UGGGGCAGGAUUCACUUCUUUCAUUCCACUCCAAAAUGCAAGAUAGGUGGAAAUGAUGUUCACAUUUUGUGAUAAGUUUCGGAUUCUCUGUAUCAUACUCUGCAAGCGGAAGAACCCAUAAUUUUAAGCAUUAAUUAUGAGCUGCUCGACUUCACUGUCUAUUCCUUGACUUCACUGCCCAUUCACCUGCAAAUUGGCAUAGAGUAGAUAAUAGAAUUAAAGAACAUAAAAAACUAAAUAAACCACACCUUCAAGACAAAUGGGACAAGUGUCCUCCUCUUCUGAUGCUGCUAACACAUUUAAUUGUGAAACUUCAGACUUCCUUGGUGAAGCAAUCAAAGAACUAGCUUGAGUUUUGCAGUCUGCAUCCUCAAAAUCUUCACACGUAGCUAAUGUUUUAUUUAAAAUUUUGACAAAAAUCUUGAGUUAUUAACUUAAAUUAAUUAAGGUGUAUAAGAAUUGGGAAUAAAUUGGCAUGUUACUUGAUAGCUACUAUGUUGGACUUGGUUCGGCCUGCCAGUGGCGUGCUUCGAUAUUAAACCAAAGGGUGGAACUUUUAACACGCAGCGUGUGAAAAUGGAGUUUUUUUUUACGCGCUACUAAAAUCCUUAUAACAUCCAUUUUGAUUUUUUUUUUUCCUGAAAUAUCUCAUUUUAUAAAAUAAAAAUUAAAAUAUUAAAAAAAAUCAUCUUCUCAUCAAUAACACAACCAAAAAUAGAUAUUAUCUAUUUCUUUAAGUUUUUAUUUAUAAAAUAUAUACAGAUUCUAAAAUCUUAAAAAAAUUUAUUCUCAUUAUAUCAUUGCUAUCUCCAUAACUCUAAGCUCUUAUAAUUUUGUCAAAAAAAAAAUUUUCAAUUAAAAUUUAAAAUACAGAAAUAUAGUGAAAUGGGGUGAUGUAAAAAAUUUGUUAAGAGAAUAAAUUAUUUAAGCAUUGAUUGAAUUUUCAUUUAAAAUAAGAAAUGAAUUAAGCUAUCUUUGAUCAUUUUUAUAAUUUCAAUAAAAAAUGGUUUUCUGAGUAAUUUUGAAGGGUGUCAAAAGUCCUAGUCGAAGCCAAAUUUUUGACACCAACGACAGUGGACUUGCGUUCAGUAAUUGAGUGAUUGUCGAACAGCAUUAACGAACUCGGUACCAAUUUCACUGAAUUUCAAUCUAAACAGUAAUGUAAGUGAUUUGAUUACUUAGAGUAUACCCUGUACGUAAGAAAAGAAUCUACUGGGCAAUAGAUUGAAUAAAAAAAAAAAAUCAAUUUUUAUUUUCUACUAAUCCGUGAAUAAUAUUCAACUAUACCUAAAAGAAUUUAAGGGAAAUGAAUGUGAUAACACAUUAAAAAAAAAAAAAAAAGAAUUAGCAUUGUGGUUUCUAAUUAUAGAGAUUUAUUAUUGACGCUCCACAGCAAUUAUACCUAUCAAUUCUAAGAUUAUCAAUUAUGAGCACACAAUUUACAUCAAUUAAAUUAUAAAAUUAGGUUUCUGUAAUUGGCUAUGAGAGUUUAUUUUCUUUGGUUUUCUAUAUUAGUUUGGGCUCAUAAUUUCUAUGGCUUGUGUACCCGAAAUUUAUUAAAUAUUGUCAUAAACACAUAGACAACAAAUAGUCUCUUCGAGCCUCUUCGAAAGAGACUUUGCGUAUCAUAAUACAACUCUAAGCUAUGUUAUAAUACAACUUGAUCUAGGUAGUUCAGUAAAUGUCUUAUGUAAAUAUGAGUAGACUUUUAUUUGGAUAAUAUAAUAUUAGUGAUUCAAAAAAAAAAAAAAAUUUCCAAACUCAAAAGACCCCGUUUGUGAAGAUUACAAAAACUCAUUAAAAAAAAAAAAAAAACAAAAGCCACGAUUAUGCAGCAAACAACGUCAUUAAAAAGGGUUCAAAAUACAAAAACUGUACAAGACAUAUUUUAUCAACACAAUACAAGGCAAAACUAUGUUUUCAAAUUUUCAUACUUAGCAUAUGGUUGUGUAUGAUUUUCUCAGGCAAAACAGCAGCUACACCACCAACAAUUCAAAGGGUUCGAUAAAAAGCCAGCAUGCUGUAUCAAAACUUCGUCCCUUGCACUUUGGAGUGAUCCAUGGCAACAAUAACAUAUCGAAACACUGCAUCCUUCAAAAUAAUUAGAACCUAAAUCAAAAUGGAUCUGUCAACACCAUCUGUUUAUCUUCCGUGGAACAAAACUGACAUGCAUCUGCAAUCUACUAAACCAGCAAGCAUUCAUUUCAGAUAGCAAAGAAACUCCCAUCUUUAAGUAGACUUGCUACUAAUUAAAGGUAUGAUCAAAUAUCAUUUCCUGAGAAAAUAAAGAUUAACAAACUUUCAUUAGUUCAUGAGAACAUGCUGUGCACAACAUACCAACACAAACCUACAAAUUCAAUUGAAUCCUCAAAAAUUAAAAGCUCAGGUUCAAGCAAUCUACAAGCAUCAACAAUACACAUCUAAUUAGCUCAAAAGUUAUUACAUUUGAAAGUACAUGUAUCUCAGUAAUUCAAUCAUUUUCUUCUUUCCAAAAAUUCUAACUUCUCAGAUUAAAGAUUCCUGUAAAAUGAUGCAGAAUGUGUAUUAUUUUACGGAGUAAAGAGAAAACGAAUGAACCAGGCUCUUAAAUAUAUGGCAAUUAAACAAUAGAAUUGAAAAAACACCUAGAUAUUGCACAUACAAGUAAUUGCAAGAGGCAAACCUGAUCACAUAUGGGGCAGGAUUCACUUCUUUCAUUCCACUCCAAAAUGCAAGAUAGGUGGAAAUGAUGUUCACAUUUUGUGAUAAGUUUUGGAUUCUCUGUAUCAUACUCUGCAGGCGGAAGAACCCAUAAUUUUAAGCAUUAAUUAUCAGCUGCUGGACUUUACUGCCAUUCACCAGCAAAUUGUCAUUGAGUAGAUAAUAGAAUUAAAGCAC
rnacentral:lncRNA from 1 species